rnacentral:rRNA from 1 species
GACGAACGCUGGCGGCGUGCUUAACACAUGCAAGUCGAACGAAGAGCGAUGGAAGCUUGCUUCUAUCAAUCUUAGUGGCGAACGGGUGAGUAACGCGUAAUCAACCUGCCCUUCAGAGGGGGACAACAGUUGGAAACGACUGCUAAUACCGCAUACGAUCCAAUCUCGGCAUCGGGACUGGAUGAAAGGUGGCCUCUAUUUAUAAGCUAUCACUGAAGGAGGGGAUUGCGUCUGAUUAGCUAGUUGGAGGGGUAACGGCCCACCAAGGCGAUGAUCAGUAGCCGGGCUGGGAGGAUGAACGGCCACAUUGGGACUGAGACACGGCCCAGACUCCUACGGGAGGCAGCAGUGGGGGAUCUUCCGCCAUGGACGAAAGUCUGACGGAGCAACGCCGCGUGAGUGAUGACGGCCUUCGGGUUGUAAAGCUCUGUUAAUCGGGACGAAUGGUUCUUGUGCGAAUAGUGCGAGGAUUUGACGGUACCGGAAUAGAAAGCCACGGCUAACUACGUG